AGUCAAGUAAUUAAGUGCAUGUGGUGGAUGCCUUGGCAGUCAGAGGCGAUGAAAGACGUGAUAGCCUGCGAAAAGCUCCGGGGAGGCGGCAAAUAUCCUUUGAUCCGGAGAUGUCUGAAUGGGGGAACCCACCUACUUUAAGGUAGGUAUUGCAACAUGAAUACAUAGUGUUGCAAGGCGAACGAGGGGAAGUGAAACAUCUCAGUACCCUUAGGAAAAGAAAUCAAUUGAGAUUCCCUCAGUAGCGGCGAGCGAACGGGGAUCAGCCCAUUAAGUUAUGUGUGUUUUAGUGGAACGCUCUGGGAAGUGCGAACGUAGAGGGUGAUAUUCCCGUACACGAAAGGGCACACAUAAUGAUGACGAGUAGGGCGAGGCACGUGAAACCUUGUCUGAAUAUGGGGGGACCAUCCUCCAAGGCUAAAUACUCCUGACUGACCGAUAGUGAACCAGUACCGUGAGGGAAAGGCGAAAAGAACCCCUGUGAGGGGAGUGAAAUAGAUCCUGAAACCGCAUGCAUACAAGCAGUGGGAGCACCUUCGUGGUGUGACUGCGUACCUUUGUAUAAUGGGUCAGCGACUUAUAUUCAGUAGCGAGGUUAACCGUAUAGGGGAGCCGUAGAGAAAUCGAGUCUUAAUAGGGCGUUUAGUUGCUGGGUAUAGACCCGAAACCAGGCGAUCUAUCCAUGAGCAGGUUGAAGGUUGGGUAACACUAACUGGAGGACCGAACCCACUGUCGUUGAAAAGCCAGGGGAUGACUUGUGGAUAGGGGUGAAAGGCUAAUCAAGCCUGGUGAUAGCUGGUUCUCCCCGAAAGCUAUUUAGGUAGCGCCUCGGACGAAUACCAUAGGGGGUAGAGCACUGUUUCGGCUAGGGGGUCAUCCCGACUUACCAAACCGAUGCAAACUCCGAAUACCUAUGAGUACUAUCCGGGAGACAGACUGCGGGUGCUAACGUCCGUAGUCAAGAGGAAAACAAUCCAGACCGCCAGCUAAGGCCCCAAAAUCAUAGUUAAGUGGGAAACGAUGUGGGAAGGCAUAGACAGCUAGGAGGUUGGCUUAGAAGCAGCCACCCUUUAAAGAAAGCGUAAUAGCUCACUAGUCGAGUCGGCCUGCGCGGAAGAUGUAACGGGGCUAAAACUAUGUGCCGAAGCUGCGGAUGUAUACUUUGUAUACGUGGUAGGGGAGCGUUCUGUAAGCCGAUGAAGGUGUGUUGAGAAGCAUGCUGGAGGUAUCAGAAGUGCGAAUGCUGACGUGAGUAACGACAAAACGGGUGAAAAACCCGUUCGCCGAAAGACCAAGGGUUCCAGUCCAACGUUAAUCGGGGCUGGGUGAGUCGACCCCUAAGGCGAGGCCGAAAGGCGUAGUCGAUGGGAAAAUGGUUAAUAUUCCAUUACUUCUGUGUAAUGCGAUGAGAGGACGGAGAAGGCUAAAUCAGCCUGGCGUUGGUUGUCCAGGUGAAAGGAUGUAGGCAUGUAUCUUAGGCAAAUCCGGGGUACUCUAUGCUGAGAUCUGAUAGCAAGCUGUACUUGUACAGCGAAGUGGUUGAUGCCAUGCUUCCAGGAAAAGUCUCUAAGCUUCAGUUACACAGGAAUCGUACCCGAAACCGACACAGGUGGUCAGGUCGAGUAGACCAAGGCGCUUGAGAGAACUCUGCUGAAGGAACUAGGCAAAAUGGUACCGUAACUUCGGGAGAAGGUACGCUGUUGUUGGUGAUGGAACUCGCUUCCUGAGCUGACGACAGCCGCAGAAACCAGGCCGCUGCAACUGUUUAUUAAAAACAUAGCACUCUGCAAACACGAAAGUGGACGUAUAGGGUGUGAUGCCUGCCCGGUGCUGGAAGGUUAAUUGAUGGGGUUAGCGUAAGCGAAGCUCUUGAUCGAAGCCCCAGUAAACGGCGGCCGUAACUAUAACGGUCCUAAGGUAGCGAAAUUCCUUGUCGGGUAAGUUCCGACCUGCACGAAUGGCAUAAUGAUGGCGGCGCUGUCUCCAGCAGAGGCUCAGUGAAAUCGAAAUCGCUGUGAAGAUGCAGUGUACCCGCGGCUAGACGGAAAGACCCCGUGAACCUUUACUGCAGCUUGACACUGAACUUUGACCUUACUUGUGUAGGAUAGGUGGGAGGCUUUGAAGCUGGAACGCUAGUUCCAGUGGAGCCGUCCUUGAAAUACCACCCUGGUAAUGUUGAGGUUCUAACUCUGUCCCGUGAUCCGGGACGAGGACCGUGUCUGGUGGGUAGUUUGACUGGGGCGGUCUCCUCCUAAAGAGUAACGGAGGAGUACGAAGGUGCGCUCAGCGUGGUCGGAAAUCACGCGUAGAGUAUAAAGGCAAAAGCGCGCUUAACUGCGAGACCCACAAGUCGAGCAGGUACGAAAGUAGGUCUUAGUGAUCCGGUGGUUCUGUAUGGAAGGGCCAUCGCUCAACGGAUAAAAGGUACUCUGGGGAUAACAGGCUGAUACCGCCCAAGAGUUCAUAUCGACGGCGGUGUUUGGCACCUCGAUGUCGGCUCAUCUCAUCCUGGGGCUGAAGCAGGUCCCAAGGGUAUGGCUGUUCGCCAUUUAAAGAGGUACGCGAGCUGGGUUUAGAACGUCGUGAGACAGUUCGGUCCCUAAUCUACCGUGGGCGCUGGAAAUUUGAGAGGAUCUGCUCCUAGUACGAGAGGACCAGAGUGGACGAACCUCUGGUGUACCGGUUGUGACGCCAGUCGCAUCGCCGGGUAGCUAUGUUCGGAAGGGAUAACCGCUGAAAGCAUCUAAGCGGGAAGCCUACCUCAAGAUAAGAUUUCCCUAGGACUUUAUGUCCUCUAAAGAGCCGUUCGAGACUAGGACGUUGAUAGGUUGGAUGUGGAAGCAUAGUGAUAUGUGAAGCUGACCAAUACUAAUUGCUCGUGAGGCUUGACUAU
rnacentral:rRNA from 1 species